rnacentral:lncRNA from 1 species
GCUGAUCUAGCAUAAGUUAAGAAAAAAUGGAUAUGUACAAUAUUUUCUAUCAUUAUAACUAUACAUAAAACCUAUUAUGAAUUCAUAAAACAUUAAAAAAGGUACAUGAUUGCUAGCAUUUUGUUUAGAGAAUAAGAUGUACUGAUAUUUAUUCCAUCUUCUGACUAAUUCUUAGUCUUCAUUCCCCUAAUCUCAUUAUAAAACUUGGAAUAUACUACAUGAUCCAAUAAUUAAAAAUGAACAUCGUGACGAGCACCAAGGAGAAUUGAAGUUGUUGGGAUAAUUAAGUAGCUUAUGAGUAAGAAUGGUAGCUGGUGUGAGGCUAUAAAUACCAUCUCUCCCUAUGCCCUAAACCAUCACAAGCUAAGCACACUCUAAUCUCAGUUUAUCUGUGUUAAUUAAUCUCUGUGUGUUUAUAUCAUCGAUCAUGGGUGUUUUUGCUUUCGAUGAUGAGAACUCCUCUACACUGCCUCCAGCAAUAUUGUACAAAGCUCUAACAAAAGAUUCAGACAGCAUCAUCCCAAAGGUUAUUCCUGUCAUCCAGAGCAUUGAAAUUGUUGAAGGAAAUGGUGGACCUGGAACCAUCAAGAAGCUAACAGCUAUUGAAGGUCAGUGCAUAUAUAUAUAGAAAUUAACAAUGUUAACUCUUGUUUUAUGCUCAUAUUUACGCUGAGAAUUCAGAUUGGUUUUAUUAAGUAUCUAAGUGUGAGUAAUAUACAUAAGAAAGUUGAACAUCAUAUCAAGAUAUUGUAUUAAGAUUUUGGGUUUGAGUGGUACUAAUUUAUGAUGAUGGUUGCAGGUAGCGAAACCAGUUUUGUGCUGCAGAAAAUCGAUGCAGUGGACGAAGCUAACCUGGGAUUCGAUUACAGCAUAGUGGGAGGACCAGGGUUGCAUGAAAGUUUGGAGAAAAUCACACUUCAGACAAAGGUUUUGCCUGGUCCUGAUGGUGGUUCCAUCUCCAAGGUCGCUGUCAAAUA